rnacentral:rRNA from 1 species
CACGUAGGGACCAAGCGUUGUCCGGAUUCAUUGGGCGUAAAGAGCUCGUAGGCGGUUCAGUAAGUCGGGUGUGAAACCUCCAGGCUCAACCUGGAGACGCCACCCGAUACUGCUGUGACUAGAGUCCAGUAGGGGAGCGUGGAAUUCCUGGUGUAGCGGUGAAAUGCGCAGAUAUCAGGAGGAACACCGGUGGCGAAGGCGGUUCUCUGGGCAUGUCCUGACGCUGAGGAGCGAAAGUGUGGGGAGCGAACAGG